AGCGAACGCUGGCGGCAGGCUUAACACAUGCAAGUCGAAGGGAGUGGCAGACGGGUGAGUAACACGUGGGAACGUACCUUUCGGUUCGGAAUAAUCUAGGGAUACUUGGACUAAUCCCGGAUAACGAUAGAUCGGCCCGCGUAUGAUUAGCUAGUUGGUGAGGUACAGGGUCAACAAGGCGACGCUCAGAAGGUGGUCUGAGAGGAUGAUCAGCCACAUUGGGACUGAGACACGGCCCAGACUCCUACGGGAGGCAGCAGUGGGGAAUAUGGGACAAGGGGCUCAAGCCUGAUCCAGCCAUGCCGCGUGAGUGAUGAAGGCCUUAGGGUUGGAAAGCUCUUUUGUCCGGGAAGCUGUACCGGAAGAAUAAGCCCCGGCUAACUUCGUGCCAGCAGCCGCGGUAAUAC
rnacentral:rRNA from 1 species